AACUUUUGGCAAUGGAUCUCUAAGACCGAUGGCACGAUAGUCGAAGAAAGCGCCGACCCAUAUCCAACUCGCGAGCGGCCUUAGCGGCAGGGCAUGAGCGAGCCACACAAUUGGAGGAGGCUCGGUCACACCGCUAAAAGAACCCUCCAUCGGGGGGUGGUCGCCUGCCGCCCGGGUGAAGGUUAGCUGGGCGCGCAAAUAGGCGAAACGGUGGUGACUACGAAGCGCCGUUAGGGUGUCCGUCAUUGGCUGGUGCCCCAUUGGAUUUCCGUUUGCCCUCGAUGGCGGUGCUCUUUCUGGAGAUCAUCCUGGGCCGGCGUGAUUUGUCGCUGAAAUCGUUGAUCUCUUGGUUGUGCCGAAGGUUCGUGACGCCGCAGAUUGAACCACUGGUCCGCGCUACCAAGUACGAACUUAAGCAUAUCAAUAAGCGGAGGCU
rnacentral:misc_RNA from 1 species